AUAUGGUCAAUCAAGGCCUUGUUAAGGAACCGGAAUAUUGAUGCAGAAGGUGGAGAAAUUGUUUUUGGUGGGGUUGAUUCUAAUCAUUACAAGGGUGAGCACACAUGUUCCCUUGACCCAGAAAGGCUACUGGCAGUUUGAAAUUAGUGAUGUCCUAAUUGAUGGGGAAACAACUGGAUAUUUUUCUGAUGGUUGUUAGGCCAUUGUUGAUUCUGGAACCUCUGUAUAGGCUGGUCCAACGUAUGGGUAUUGAGAGUGUGGUAAAUAAGAGCACAGAAAGAUAAUCUGAUUAUGUGCAUGACACUGUGUGCACUGCUUGUGAGAUGGCAGUAGUAUGGCUGCAGAACCAGCUCAAGAGAAGUAAGAUGGAAGAACAAAUCUUGGAUUACGUAAAUCAGCUUUGUGGUCAACUGCCGAGUCCCAAUGGAGAAUCGGCUGUUGAGUAUAGCAGUCUAUCUUCCAUGCCCAAUGUGUCAUCAUUCACCAUCGGUGGUAAAGUAUUUUACCUUUCACUAGAUCAGAUAUACUGUUGUGCUGAUAUUUAAGGCACUGGAGUUAUAGAUUAUUGAAUAGUCAUGAUUGCAAUGCUACUUAUAAGUAUAUCAUCUGUCACUUGGUUAUCUGUUGUUAAGCUUAUAUGUCCAAUUUUAAUUGCAGAUAAAGAUCUUGGAAUUUAUUGGUUUGUUGCUUCUUCUGUGUUCUUGCUUUACAUGAUGCAAUUUUCAAGUAUAUUGAUAGACCCCUAAUUAUCAAGACUUAUCAGAGAAGGGGUAAGAUGGGAAUUACUCCUCCAGUGGCUCAGAUUACAACAAUUGAAGAUAAAGAUGACCAAGAUAAUUCUUACAUAGAAGCAUAUCAAGAUAACACAAAGAAGCUGGAUAAGACUCAUCAUCAACAAGGCAACCGGGCUUUAGUAGGGAUGCAAUCCUGUGAAGAAGGAUCAUCAAGGAAAAGCGUAAACAAUUACUUGGGGUUUGGGGGCUUAGGCCUAGGGACACUGAUUGCACUGUUUUGGCAGCACCAUUGUAUUGGUUAUUUGGUUUUCUGGUUCUAUCAAUAAGCAAGUGUAGUUUGCACAUUAUCGUUCAAUAAACCAGUCUUCAUUCAUUCAUAACUGUUCUGUCCAUUACAACCAUUACUUAAUCGCCAUUACACAGCUUUUACAAACACAAAACAUAUAAAUAUUCCCAUCUCCAGGUAUCCAGCAACUGAGAGCAGCCCCAGAAUCAGCACAGCCCCUGCACAAAGCAUUGCCACCAGUUCAGGAUAUUGGGAGGCAUUUUCUUGGGUCACCAUCACGCUGUAUUUAACCAUGGGAACUUACCGUCGGAUUUGCUGAUGCGGCUUAAUGAAAUCCAUUAGUCUCUU